GAUGAACGCUGGCGGCGUGCCUAAUACAUGCAAGUCGAGCGAACAGACGAGGAGCUUGCUCCUCUGACGUUAGCGGCGGACGGGUGAGUAACACGUGGAUAACCUACCUAUAAGACUGGGAUAACUUCGGGAAACCGGAGCUAAUACCGGAUAAUAUAUUGAACCGCAUGGUUCAAUAGUGAAAGACGGUUUUGCUGUCACUUAUAGAUGGAUCCGCGCCGCAUUAGCUAGUUGGUAAGGUAACGGCUUACCAAGGCAACGAUGCGUAGCCGACCUGAGAGGGUGAUCGGCCACACUGGAACUGAGACACGGUCCAGACUCCUACGGGAGGCAGCAGUAGGGAAUAUUCCGCAAUGGGCGAAAGCUUGACGGAGCAACGCCGCGUGAGUGAUGAAGGUCUUCGGAUCGUAAAACUCUGUUAUUAGGGAAGAACAAAUGUGUAAGUAAAUAUGCACGUCUUGACGGUACCUAAUCAGAAAGCCACGGCUAACUACGUG
rnacentral:rRNA from 1 species